UCUCGAUAGCGUAAAAGUUAAUUUGUAUAGAGUUGGAACCUUCGCCUACGUUUGCCGCUAGAGGCGCUGUUCCAACUCUAUACCAAUUUGAGUUAACUUUUACGCGAUCGA
rnacentral:pre_miRNA from 9 species